rnacentral:rRNA from 1 species
UGGGGAAUUUUGGACAAUGGGGGAAACCCUGAUCCAGCCAUCCCGCGUGUGCGAUGAAGGCCUUCGGGUUGUAAAGCACUUUUGGCAGGAAAGAAACGUCAUGGGUUAAUACCCCGUGAAACUGACGGUACCUGCAGAAUAAGCACCGGCUAACUACGUGCCAGCAGCCGCGGUAAUACGUAGGGUGCAAGCGUUAAUCGGAAUUACUGGGCGUAAAGCGUGCGCAGGCGGUUCGGAAAGAAAGAUGUGAAAUCCCAGAGCUCAACUUUGGAACUGCAUUUUUAACUACCGGGAUAGAGUGUGUCAGAGGGAGGUGGAAUUCCGCGUGUAGCAGUGAAAUGCGUAGAUAUGCGGAGGAACACCGAUGGCGAAGGCAGCCUCCCGGGAUAACACUGACGCUCAUGCACGAAAGCGUGGGGAGCAAACAGG